AACGAACGCUGGCGGCAUGCCUAACACAUGCAAGUCGAACGAGACCUUCGGGUCUAGUGGCGCACGGGUGCGUAACGCGUGGGAACCUGCCCUUAGGUUCGGAAUAACUCCCCGAAAGGGGUGCUAAUACCGGAUAAUGUCUUCGGACCAAAGAUUUAUCGCCUUUGGAUGGGCCCGCGUUGGAUUAGCUAGUUGGUAGGGUAAAAGCCUACCAAGGCGACGAUCCAUAGCUGGUCUGAGAGGAUGAGCAGCCACACUGGGACUGAGACACGGCCCAGACUCCUACGGGAGGCAGCAGUGGGGAAUAUUGGACAAUGGGCGAAAGCCUGAUCCAGCAAUGCCGCGUGAGUGAUGAAGGCCUUAGGGUUGUAAAGCGCUUUUACCCGGGAUGAUAAUGACAGUACCGGGAGAAUAAGCACCGGCUAACUCCGUG
rnacentral:rRNA from 1 species